rnacentral:rRNA from 1 species
AGCAGCCGCGGUAAUUCCAGCUCCAAUAGCGUAUAUUAAAGUUGUUGCAGUUAAAAGCUCGUAGUUGAAUUUCGGGGUCAGUAGAUUGGUCAUGCCUCCGGUAUGUACUGGUCUUACUGGCUCCUCCUUCCUGAUGAACCGUAAUGCCAUUAAUUUGGUGUUGCGGGGAGACUGGACUGUUACUUUGAAAAAUUAGAGUGUUUAAAGCAGGCUAACGCUUGAAUACAUUAGCAUGGAAUAAUGAAAUAGGACGUUCGAUCUUAUUUUGUUGGUUUCUAAGAUUGACGUAAUGAUUAAUAGGGAUAGUUGGGGGCAUUAGUAUUCAAUUGUCAGAGGUGAAAUUCUUGGAUUUAUUGAAGACUAACUACUGCGAAAGCAUUUGCCAAGGAUGUUUCAUUAAUCAAGAACGAAGUUAGGGAUCGAAGACGAUCAGAUACCGUCGUAGUCUUAACCAUAAACUAUGCGACUAGGGAUCGGAUG